UACGUAGGGGGCGAGCGUUGUCCGGAUUCAUUGGGCGUAAAGAGCUCGUAGGCGGCUUGGCAAGUCGGGCGUGAAAUCCCCGAGCUUAACUCGGGACUGUCGUUCGAUACUGCUAUGGCUUGAGUCUGGUAGGGGAGCAUGGAAUUCCUGGUGUAGCGGUGAAAUGCGCAGAUAUCAGGAGGAACACCAGUGGCGAUGGCGGCGCUCUGGGCCGGUACUGACGCUGAGGAGCGAAAGCGUGGGGAGCGAACAGG
rnacentral:misc_RNA from 1 species